rnacentral:rRNA from 1 species
AGUGAACGCUGGCGGUAGGCCUAACACAUGCAAGUCGAACGGCAGCACAGUAAGAGCUUGCUCUUACGGGUGGCGAGUGGCGGACGGGUGAGGAAUACAUCGGAAUCUACUUUUUCGUGGGGGAUAACGUAGGGAAACUUACGCUAAUACCGCAUACGACCUACGGGUGAAAGCAGGGGAUCUUCGGACCUUGCGCGAUUGAAUGAGCCGAUGUCGGAUUAGCUAGUUGGCGGGGUAAAGGCCCACCAAGGCGACAAUCCGUAGCUGGUCUGAGAGGAUGAUCAGCCACACUGGAACUGAGAAACGGUCCAGACUCCUACGGGAGGCAGCAGUGGGGAAUAUUGGACAAUGGGCGCAAGCCUGAUCCAGCCAUACCGAGUGGGUGAAGAAGGCCUUCGGGUUGUAAAGCCCUUUUGUUGGGAAAGAAAAGCAGCAGGUUAAUACCCCGCUGUUCUGACGGUACCCAAAGAAUAAGCACCGGCUAACUUCGUG